CCAACCUCUGUUAGUCUUCCUUCCGCCCGCCCGGGGGCAAUCUCCUUUUCAGUCUAGGCUGAAAACAACAACAACAAAAAAACCCUGGCCCCUAGGGGCAGGGGAGACAGCACAAAGAGGGAGCCCCAGGUCCCUGAAUCACCUGCACCAGACUUGUCAUAUAUUUCUGUGAGGUAUAUUUAAUCAAGCCAAGAAGCUAAGCUAAGGAAGUUUCUUUCUAUUUCGAGACUGUUAAGAGUACCAGAGGACAUGGAAUUUAUCACACGCUCUUUCAGCUUGUGAAGAUGACUAUAUAAUUCUGUUAAUUUCGUGAGCUACAGUGAGUUACUCUUGACUCAAUCUUGCAUGUUUUCAUAUAAAUCUUACUUGAAAAUGAUGUCUCUUUUACUACACUGCUGAAUGCAAACUGCUAGUUUUAUUUUGGAUUUUUGCACCUACAUUAAUUGAAUUUGGCUUAGUUUUCCUUGUGCUUUAUUUG
rnacentral:lncRNA from 1 species